rnacentral:rRNA from 1 species
GGCAAAAUGAGAGCCCAACUGUCUCUUACAGCAAAUCAAUUAAACUGAUCUCCCAGUACAAAAGCUGGGAUUACAACAUAAGACCAGAAGACCCUGUGAAGCUUUAACUCACCUAUUAAACCCUAUAAUAGCCAGUUUCGGUUGGGGCGACCUUGGAAUAAAAAAGAACUUCCAAAGAACAUGAUUAACCAUGCCACUAGGCAGACAAGCCAUUAAUGACCCAGAAUAUCUGAUAAACGGACCAAGUUACUCCAGGGAUAACAGCGCUAUCUUCUUCAAGAGCCCAUAUCAAAAAGAAGGUUUACGACCUCGAUGUUGGAUCAGGACAUCCUAGUAAUGCAACCGCUACUAAGGGUUCGUUUGUUCAACGAUUAAUAGUCCUACGUGA